CUAUCCAGUAGGGCGACACUUUUUUUGCUAUACUUUGUAUACCAAACUUGAAUUUUUAUAUAAAUUGGCAAAAUUGUACGUCAAAAUGAAAAAAUUUAAACGUCGGAAACGUCGUAAUUGUCAAAUUUUGACUCGAACAAUUAUUUCCUAACCGCCAUAUUAUAUUGCAACCACCGAGUAACCACGCCCGGAAUUUUGGAUUUUUAGUUUUUUCUGCAUAAAUAUUUUCUGAGCCCUAAUACUUUAUUGUGAGAAUAUUAUUCGUCGCUUCUAGGGAUUUACUAUGGAAAAAACAGUGAAACGCAAUGUGAGAUAUCAAAAAUGUACUAUUUGUGGUCUAAAGAGGACCCCUGGACUGGAGCCAAUGUAUUUUUGAAGAAGUUUCCACUUGAUCCAGAUCGGUUAGUGUAAAUAUUACUAUGCUCUGUGGUGUUAACAAUAGAACAAUACAAUAUUUAAAUAAAUUCUACUUAUAAUCUUUAUAACAGUAAAUAGCUAACUGUAGUAAUAAAGUAACAUUAAAGUAUUAU
rnacentral:misc_RNA from 1 species